GGCGGAAUGGUAGACGCAGGGGAUUCAAAAUCCCCCGCCUUAACGGGCGUGCCGGUUCGAGUCCGGCC
rnacentral:tRNA from 1 species